GGGCCUGUAGCUCAGUUGGAAGUUUCGAAGGAAAUGGACAAUGUCCAUUUCAACCAACAAUAGAGCAGUAGCCUCCUAAGCUAAAGGUCGGGGGUUCGAAUCCCCCCAGGCCCG
rnacentral:tRNA from 1 species